rnacentral:rRNA from 1 species
GUGGUACGCGAGCUGGGUUUAGAACGUCGUGAGACAGUUCGGUCCCUAUCUGCCGUGGGCGCUGGAGAACUGAGGGGGGCUGCUCCUAGUACGAGAGGACCGGAGUGGACGCAUCACUGGUGUUCGGGUUGUCAUGCCAAUGGCACUGCCCGGUAGCUAAAUGCGGAAGAGAUAAGUGCUGAAAGCAUCUAAGCACGAAACUUGCCCCGAGAUGAGUUCUCCCUGACUCCUUGAGAGUCCUGAAGGAACGUUGAAGACGACGACGUUGAUAGGCCGGGUGUGUAAGCGCAGCGAUGCGUUGAGCUAACCGGUACUAAUGAACCGUGAGGCUUAACCUUACAACGCCGAAG